UUUCAAAUCUAAAUUACUUGAACAGUCUAUUAUUUCAAAUUGAAAUAUUCAUUUGUUAUAUUUACUAAUAAAAAGGUUCUAUAAAAAUCCCUAUUUCGUUUUCUCGGUUAAGCAAUUUUUUCUAGAAUUUAUUUUGUGCGCAUAAAAUACUAAGGCGGAGCACGGGUGGCCACUUCUGCCCUAUGUCAUGACUUGGGCUAGUAUUACAUCUUACUAUAAAAAUCAUAUAGGAGCUAUCAAUUUGCUGCUAAUGGUAGAAGCGUACAUCGAGAUUUGUAUUCUCCAGAAGACUGGAAAGCAGUUCUUUUCAAAAGAAACCAGGGGGUCUAUGCUGCUUUUAACAAAAAUUGUCUCUCUACCAAUAAGAACAGUGAUGUCGCUUCUUAUUGGUUGUUCCGCUAGAGACAAUUUUUAUUAAGAGCAGCAUAGACCCCAGGAUUGGGCC
rnacentral:lncRNA from 1 species